AUGAACGCUGGCAGCGUGCCUAAUACAUGCAAGUCGAGCGAACAGACGAGGAGCUUGCUCCUCUGACGUUAGCGGCGGACGGGUGAGUAACACGUGGAUAACCUACCUAUAAGACUGGGAUAACUUCGGGAAACCGGAGCUAAUACCGGAUAACAUGUUGAACCGCAUGGUUCAACAGUGAAAGGCGGUCUUGCUGUCACUUAUAGAUGGAUCCGCGCUGCAUUAGCUAGUUGGUAAGGUAACGGCUUACCAAGGCAACGAUGCGUAGCCGACCUGAGAGGGUGAUCGGCCACACUGGAACUGAGACACGGUCCAGACUCCUACGGGAGGCAGCAGUAGGGAAUCUUCCGCAAUGGGCGAAAGCCUGACGGAGCAACGCCGCGUGAGUGAAGAAGGUCUUCGGAUCGUAAAACUCUGUUAUUAGGGAAGAACAAAUGUGUAAGUAACUAUGCACGUCUUGACGGUACCUAAUCAGAAAGCCACGGCUAACUACGUG
rnacentral:rRNA from 1 species